UACGUAGGGGGCUAGCGUUGCUCGGAAUCACUGGGCGUAAAGCGCACGUAGGCGGAUUGCUAAGUCAGGGGUGAAAUCCUGGAGCUCAACUCCAGAACUGCCCUUGAUACUGGCGGUCUCGAGUCCGGGAGAGGUGAGUGGAACUGCGAGUGUAGAGGUGAAAUUCGUAGAUAUUCGGAAGAACACCAGUGGCGAAGGCGGCUCACUGGCCCGGUACUGACGCUGAGAUACGAAAGCGUGGGGAGCAAACAGG
rnacentral:rRNA from 1 species